CGCUUUCUGUCAGAGUACUCCUUAACGUUUUCAUUUCCACAUAAACCCCGAUUACGGGUAUCUGUACGAACAGGCCUUGCUUCAUCUUGUUUAAUGGAGCGGGGCAAAAGGCCUUAUUUUGUUCUUCCGAAAAGGGCAAAAAAAAAACUCUUGAUCUUUUAAAAAAAGCAGAGACGUAUAAAGCCGUAACAAAUUGUUCUAAAUAAUGAAAGAAACAUGCUGCUGGUCAUGAAUAAUCCUAGUUAUUGGGAAAGCAUCGAGGAAACUAUAAUACCACUAUUUAUCGCUCUACACAUACAAAAGCCAGCUAGCUAGGGAAGAAACCAACCAGGCUUAGUCGAGAAUUCAUUGGCCGG
rnacentral:lncRNA from 1 species